UUGAAUAAACCUGAUGAGUUGUAGCUGGCUCCUAGGAGCAUGUGCACGCUUGUCAUCUUUAUCUAUCCACCUGUGCACAAUCUGUAGUCUUCGGGGGGAAUUAAACGUUCUCUCUCGAGUCUAUGUGUUUUUCAUACACUACAUAGCAUGUCGCAGAAUGUAUCUAUUGGGCUUCUAUGCCUAUAAAACGUUAUAUA
rnacentral:misc_RNA from 1 species